GACGAACCGUGCGAACGUUAUUCGGAAUCACUGGGCUUAAAGGGCGCGUAGGCGGCGCGAGUAGUCAACGGUGAAAGCCCGGGGCUCAACCCCGGGUCGGCCGUCGAUACUCUCGUGCUUGAGCACUGUAGAGGCAGGUGGAAUUCCGGGUGUAGCGGUGGAAUGCGUAGAGAUGUGGAGGAACACCAGUGGCGAAGGCGACUCUUUGGCCUGUAACUGACACUGAGGCGCGAAAGCGUGGGGAGCAAACAGG
rnacentral:rRNA from 1 species